AAUAGACUGCCCACCCCAUGGAGAGUGGCUGGAAACUGCUUUCUGGAGCUUGAGGUCUGUACCUCUAGGUCAGUCUGAACUCCCACAACAUCGCUAACGGCCGAGAGGAAGUCACGCAAGUCAUGUCUGUAGAAUUGAUGGAUAAACAGUAUUGCUGGUCCCAAGACAGCUGGAGUAACAUUGUUCUUGGACAUUGAUGGGCAUGUCUAAUUAA
rnacentral:lncRNA from 1 species